GGUCAAGCGCAUAAGGGCGCAUGGUGGAUUCCUUGGCGCCAAUGGUCGAUGAAGGGCGUAGCAAGCUGCGAUAAGCUUCGGGGAGCCGCUAACAGGCGUUGAUCCGGAGAUUCCCGAAUGGGGCAACCCGACACGGGUCAUACCGUGUCAUCACUGUCUGAAUACAUAGGGCAGUGAAGGCAACCGGGGGAAUUGAAACAUCUCAGUACCCCGAGGAGUAGAAAGCAACCGCGAUUCCCUUAGUAGCGGCGAGCGAAACGGGAAUAGCCUAAACCGGACGUAUGUCAAGCCCGUGUGCGUUGUGCGUCCGGGGUCGUGGGACCUGAUUUGACAGGGAUACGGACCUGUCGGAAUGUAAAAAAAAGGUGUCUUAGUUCAACAGGCUGGAAAGCCUGGCCAUAGAAGGUGAAAGCCCUGUGAACGAAAAGUCAUCUUCAUUCUCGAUCGGGCACCCGAGUACUACGGGACACGAGAAAUCCUGUAGGAAUCCGGGGGGACCACCCCCCAAGGCUAAAUACCAAUUGGCGACCGAUAGUGAACCAGUACCGUGAGGGAAAGGUGAAAAGCACCCCGGUGAGGGGAGUGAAAUAGAAUAUGAAACCAUGUGCCUACAAGCAGUGGGAGCACUAUACAUCCGGCUUGCCGGAUGCAGGUGUGACCGCGUACCUUUUGCAUAAUGAGCCGCCGAGUUACUUUAUUCAGCAAGGUUAAGCCGUUAGGUGGAGCCGUAGCGAAAGCGAGUCUGAACAGGGCGAUCAGUUGAAUGGAGUAGACCCGAAGCCGGGUGAUCUAUCCAUGGCCAGGAUGAAGCGGAGGUAACACUUCGUGAAGGUCCGAACCAGUGGGCGUUGAAAAGCCUUUGGAUGAGCUGUGGAUAGGGGUGAAAGGCCAAUCAAACCCGGCAAUAGCUGGUUCUCCUCGAAAUAGUUUUAGGACUAGCCUUGCGUAAUAGUCUGCGGAGGUAGGGCGCUGGAUGGGCUAGGGGCCUCACCAGGUUACCAAACCCAACCAAUCUUCGAAUACCGCAGGCCGUAUCGCAGGAGUCAGACUACGGGUGCUAAGAUCCGUGGUCGAAAGGGAAAGAGCCCAGACCACCAGCUAAGGUCCCUAAGAUAGACUAAGUGGGAAAGGUUGUAGGAAUACUCAGACAAUAAGGAGGUUGGCUUAGAAGCAGCAAUCCUUUAAAGAAAGCGUAACAGCUCACUUAUCAAGUGUCCCUGCGCCGAAAAUGUAUCGGGGCUUAAGUUUAUCACCGAAGCUGUGGACUGAAUGACACCUCGGUGCCAUUCAGUGGUAGAGGAGCGUUCCAUACCGGGUUGAAGCUCGACCGUAAGGACGGGUGGACUGUAUGGAAGCGAGUAUGGCGGCAUGAGUAACGUUAAAACAGGUGAGAAACCUGUUCGCCGAAAAUCCAAGGUUUCCUGAGGAAGGGUAAUCCUCUCAGGGUAAGUCGGCCCCUAAGGCGAGGCUGAAAAGCGUAGCUGAUGGGAAACGGGUUAAUAUUCCCGUACCUCGUAUAACUGCGAUGGGGUAACGUAGAAGGGUAAUCUAUCCGGGUGAUGGACGUCCCGGUCCAAGCAUGUAGGAGGGAGGUUUUGGCAAAUCCGGACCUCUUUAACUCCGAGACGUUAUGGGGAGUCUUCUCUACGGAGAAAACGAACUAGAUGAUCCCAGGCUACCGAGAAAAACCUCUAAGCUUCAGGUUAUACGGGACCGUACUCUAAACCAACGCAGGUGGAUGAGGAGAGAAUCCUAAGGCGCUUGAGAAAACUCUGGUUAAGGAACUUAGCAAAUUAGCUCCGUAACUUCGGGAUAAGGAGUGCCCCUAUUAGGUGAAGGAACUUGCUUCUGGAGCCGAGAGGGGUUGCAGUGACCAGGCAGCUGUGACUGUUUACUAAAAACACAGGACUCUGCGAAGUCGCAAGACGAUGUAUAGGGUCUGACGCCUGCCCGGUGCCGGAAGGUUAAAAGGAGGGGUUAGUCUUCGGACGAAGCUCCAAAUUGAAGCCCCGGUAAACGGCGGCCGUAACUAUAACGGUCCUAAGGUAGCGAAAUUCCUUGUCGGGUAAGUUCCGACCUGCACGAAUGGCGUAACAAUGGCUGCACUGUCUCAACCAGGGACUCAGUGAAAUUGACAUACCGGUGAAGAUGCCGGUUUCCCGCAACAGGACGGAAAGACCCCGUGCACCUUUACUACAACCUGAUAUUGAGUAUUGAUCUAGUAUGUGUAGGAUAGGUGGGAGACGUUGAAUCCGGAGCGCUAGCUUCGGGGGAGUCACCCUUGAAAUACCACCCUUAUUACAUUGAUAUUCUAACCUCGGUCCGUGAAUCCGGAUCAGGGACAAUGUCAGGCGGGUAGUUUGACUGGGGCGGUCGCCUCCUAAAUUGUAACGGAGGCGCGCGAAGGUCCUCUCAGGCUGAUUGGAAACCAGCCGUCGAGUGUAAAGGCAUAAGAGGGCUUGACUGCGAGACCGACAGGUCGAGCAGGUGCGAAAGCAGGUCUUAGUGAUCCGGUGGUCCCGUGUGGAAGGGCCAUCGCUCAACGGAUAAAAGGUACGCCGGGGAUAACAGGCUUAUCGCCCCCAAGAGUCCAUAUCGACGGGGCGGUUUGGCACCUCGAUGUCGGCUCACCGCAUCCUGGGGCUGAAGCAGGUCCCAAGGGUUUGUCUGUUCGCCAAUUAAAGCGGUACGCGAGCUGGGUUUAGAACGUCGUGAGACAGUUCGGUCCCUAUCCGUUGUGGGUGUUAGAGAUUUGAGGGGAGCUGCUCCUAGUACGAGAGGACCGGAGUGGACAGACCUCUAGUGUGCUGGUUGUGUCGCCAGAUGCAUUGCCAGGUAGCUAUGUCUGGACAGGAUAACCGCUGAAAGCAUCUAAGCGGGAAGCCAACCCCAAAACAAGAUCUCUCUUCCCUUCGGGGACUGUAGACUCCUUGAAGACUACAAGGUUGAUAGGCCGGAUGUGUACGCACAGUAAUGUGUUUAGCUAACCGGUACUAAUCAGUCGUGAGGCUUGACCUU
rfam:Nitrospina gracilis 3/211 genomic scaffold, 2190_scaffold1